rnacentral:rRNA from 1 species
UACAGAGGGUGCGAGCGUUAAUCGGAAUUACUGGGCGUAAAGCGCACGUAGGUGGCGACGUAAGUCGGGUGUGAAAGCCCCGGGCUCAACCUGGGAAUUGCAUUCGAGACUGCAUUGCUGGAGUACGGAAGAGGAAGGCGGAAUUCCCGGUGUAGCGGUGAAAUGCGCAGAUAUCAGGAGGAACACCGGUGGCGAAGGCGGGUCUCUGGGCAACAACUGACGCUGAGGAGCGAAAGCGUGGGGAGCGAACAGG